GACGAACGCUGGCGGCGUGCUUAACACAUGCAAGUCGAACGGAAAGGCCCUGCAUUUGUGGGGUUCUCGAGUGGCGAACGGGUGAGUAACACGUGUGUAACCUGCCCUUGACUUUGGGAGAACUUCAGGAAACAGGGGCUAAUACCGCAUAGGAGCUCCUGCAGCACGGUGGGGGUUGGAAAGUUUCGGCGGUAGGGGAUGGACUCGCGGCUUAUCAGCUUGUUAGUGGGGUAGUGGCUUUCCAAGGCUGUGACGGAUAGCCGGCCUGAGAGGGGGACCGGCGACAAUGGGACUGAGAUAGGGCGCAGAGUCGUACGGUAGGCAGCAGUGGGGAAUAUGGCACAGUGAGCGGAAGCGUGUGACAGCGACGCCGGGUGCGGAAUGACGGCCUUCGGGGUGUAAACCGAUUUCGCCUGUGACGAAGGGUGAUUGACGGUAAUGGGUAAAGAAGCACCGGCUAACUACGUG
rnacentral:rRNA from 1 species